CUGAAGUGUUUUGGUGACAGUACAGUCCAUGAAUGAGAUGAAUCAACAGCAGAAUAUGUUUCUAUAUACAGUAUAUUUAUGCCACAUUUGUAAACCAUGAUUGGUUGUCCGAUGCUGGGGCUAAGGAAGCUAAAAGAAACUGUUUACUCACUGUAGGCCAUGCGAUUGGAUAUUAUUUUUCAGCAAUCUAGCCUUACCACCUCUUUCCCUUCACUAUAUACAGUCUUAAAGAGACACUAGCUUAAAUUCUGCUAUUUCUCUCAGUAACUUAAAUCAAAUGAGGUCUAAUGAAAGCGAGUGAAAUAGAACACUGUAGUAAACAGAACAUUGAAGUAAUGUUAAAUUAAUUUGGAGUAUAUAUGAUUUUUAAUCUCUAUAUAAAAAUAUUUAUUACAUGGGGUCUGUUCUUUCAGACUAAUAUGACUGCGAGUUUAAUUUAUUUUUGAGAGGAUUGGUGCACUUAGACAACUGGGUAGUGACUUUAGUCGACUCGUCGAAAAGAGGGCAUGAAUUUCGAUUCCAUCCAAAUCAAGCAUUAACCUUUUUUAUUCUAAUAACUUAGGAAACUGUUUAGAGUAGAACUGUUAAACCGGUAGUGACAUCACUUCCUCUUCCUGUUUGUGUCCGUAAACAGAAACAAGAUGCUCUUGCUGUGGAGUCCGUUCGUCCGUUACAUGCUGACCAAACCGGCUCUACACGUGCGUCAUCGUGCGCAUAUUGAUUUUGUCUAUCUCUACCAGACACGUUCAUGACACGUAGGUUAAAAUACCAAAACCAACUUUUAAUUAACUAUAUUAAUUUGGGGACAGGUCGAAACACACAGGAAACAUUUGCUGUUCCUAGCUAAUUUGUCUGGGAGAUAAACAUUGGGUUGCUAUUUAGUUAUUUUUAUAAUUGAUCUCUGCUUGUUCAUCUUUCUUCUGUGGAUUUUAUAUGGCUGUGUGGGCCUUGUUCAUCUUUCAAUCACUCACGUGGGUAAAUGCUUGUAAAAACCAAUGAGUAGAUGGUAAGGCGGGACUUACAGCGCAUUAAGCGUCUAAAAUAGAACCAAGUUCUGGCUAUGCAGGCGCCCGUUGAUGCGCAUGAGCAGUUUGGAUUAAAUGAUUGAAUAACAUGUAUGUGGACAUUUAUUUUCCAAUGCUCGCGCACACAAGCGGACAGUUUGGUCAGCAUGUUAGACAGACAGACUCAUUUUCGGGACACAUUUUGGGGACUCAUUUUCAAUGGUAAAUAUUUAUUUUCUUCUGAGAUAAUCUAUUUGGAAGACUGCACUUCUACAUUGAAUAUACUGUGUAAAUAUUGCCAUGGGAUGAUUUUGAACUUUGAACUCUAGGUAAUGAAAAGGGGGCAGUCAGUCAGUGAUCACCCAGCAUAGCUUUAAGAAUGUUCUGCCAAAGUCUUGUUUUGUACAAUCGUUGUUUUUUUUAUACUUUCUUUUUCUUUUUGACCAGAUUGUUUUAAACUAUUAUUGUCAGGUGAAUGUAUUUCCAUACUUUCCAUCUCCCCAAAAUAGCAAAUGUUGUUGCAUGUAAAUGUGGACAGAGAAUGCAAAGAACUUGAAGCUUCGCUAAGAUUGUCCUUCUUCUAUUGCCAUGGUUGUGCUGGUUGCCCUUCCAUUCCACAGGUGAACAGAUACUCCAUCCGCUAGAAACACCCCAAUCUUUUUGUUUGUUUGCUGUUUUGUUAUUAACCUUGGCACAACUGUACUGCAGAAGCAGACCAACAGGUCUGUAUGUCUGAGGUGGAUGGAAAACUAAAGAACAGCCAGACAGUCCUGACAAAGUUUGGUUUCUCUGUUGGACAAGCCCAUUGCUACUUCUGACCAAUCUAAGACCUUUCCUCUUAUUGCACAUGUCUCAAUUAAGACUCAUGUAUGACAAAAUGAACAUGCUAAGGCAUUGUGCAAUAACUGUUGACUGUAAAGGACUGCAUUGCUUCUCUAAAGUGUUGUCUUUCUUAGAUAGAUUUCUUUGGGUUUGGGGGAUUUCUUCUGGGGCAGCUUCUUCGCAGUUGUAAAUAAAAAAAAAAAAAGGUUUGAAAACUGGAAUAUCACAUUUUAAAGUCAUAACCCCUUUAUUUUACAUAGGCCGAUGUUUACCCGAACCAGUUCUUGUGUUUUAAUACAUUUUCAAUUGCAUCUAAUUGCGAAAAGACAGAAAAAACUUUCUGUAAUUGAUAUGAUACACAGUAAUAGACACUGGUGUUAUUUUUGUAUAAACAUAAUAUCAUCUGUGUGGCAUGCAUGACGUAUAAACAAUUUGGUGGUUUAAAGCAAUAUGUCCAACCUGGUAGGAUUGGUACUUUCGUGUUCUGUGUAGCCUAAACCACGCUGUACUAGAGAAAAAAAAUGGCAAUUUGGAAAAAAGCUAGCUGUUCAAUGUUCUGCAUGUUUAAGUAUGGAAUGAGACAUCCCAAAUGUUUACCUGCUUCCAAAACAAAACUCGCACAUUUUGACUGAGUUGCUGUCCCAGUGAAACACACUGAGAGGAUGCUGCCUUGAAAAUAUAGGAUGGGGUGGAGGAGAAAUGGGGUGGAGGAGGGAUGUGGUGGGUGGAUGAAUGGGGUGGAUGUGUGAAUGGGACUCUAAUUCAAUUUCACAAAGAUCAGUUCAAUGAAGUGCUUUCUCUGUAGGUACUGUAACAUGUCCCUGUUGAGUACUUCAUCACUAGUGUGGAACGAUUACUACCUGGAUAUUAACUAAGGUACUUGUUGACUGUCAUUGUUCAUUCAUAAGGGACUAACAGCAACCAUGAAGUCUACCAUCUGACUUUACCCCAUCUCACCAUAGCAGAUGGAUGUGAAAACCAGCUCAAGAAAAGCUUCAUACAUCAGCUAUAUAACACCAUAGUAACACAGUAAAUUUAUAUUAAAAAAAAAAACAUUUUGUAAUUUAACCAUGAAUAUUGUUUAUUUUUUAUUUUUGGUAUUUAGAAAUAACUAUCCUUAUCACUAGCCCCAUGCUGAAUCUCUUUCACCACUGACUGAGAAGUAAUGAUGAUGCCAUGCUGUUCAUUGUUUAUUCCAUCAUCCAGCCAAAGCCAUGGAGAAUCACUCUUUAACAAGGACUGAGCUCGUCUGCUGCUGUGCCAAACUGCAGUCAACCUCUCUUCUAGCAGCAGCAUCUCAGAUGUGUGAGAUUCUUUACUGGUUUAUUCAACAGUUCUAUCCCUUAUGGUAGUUCCUUCUAGUUGACGCUUUAAGGCUCGUACACAUCCGUUUUUCUGCCUCUCUUUUUCCCACUCUUUCGAUCUCGCUAGUUGCAUUCUAUCGAGGGCCGGAUAAGGCUAUGCUCUGUCAGUGAGACCUGUGUGUACAGUAUGUCUCUGUGGGUCUUGUUGCCACAUGCAGAUUCCCAAUGUCUAAAGUCCUACAUCUGCCCAGACUCGCUUUGAUUAACAAGGCUCAGAUCACAUUGUGUGUGCAUCUGUGUGUGGUCACCAAGUGCUAUGGAGGAGAGUAGAGAAAUGUUUCACAGGCCGCAUGUCUCUUGUCUAGUUAAAAACACAUUGACAACUUGCUCUUCUAUCAGAGAAGGAUUCCAUAUCAGUAACACAGAAUGGCAUUCUGCUGUUGUCAACAGCAGUCUAGCUUGUCUCGUCUCCUUUAUGGGUUGCUGCUGGUCUAGAGGAGAAAGAUAUAAACGAGAGAGUUUCCCCUCUCUUUACAUCACAGGUGUGCCUCAGCUUAAGCACUUGGUUGGUGUCUUUCUUCUUGCUAUGUUGUUGAAACCAGGAAGUUCUAUUUUUUAUUUUAUUUAACCCUUAUUUUAUCAGGUGACUGAAAACAUAUUCUCAUUUACAGCAACAACCUGGGGAAUAGUUACAGGGGGAUGAAUGAGCCAAUUGUAAACUGGGGAUGAUUAGAUGACUGUGAAGGUAUGAGGGCCAGACACCGGGGUUAACACCCCUACUCUUACGAUAAAUGCCAUGGGAUCUUUAGUGACCACAGAGAAUCAGGACCCUGUUUAACAUCCCAUCCGAAAGACUGUACCCUACACAGGGCAAUGGCAUAUUUCUUUUAGACUAGAGGAAAGAGUGCCUCCUACUGGCCCUCCAGCUGUCUACUUCCAGCAGCAUCUGGUCUCCCAUUCAGGGACCGACCAGGACCAACCCUGCUUAGCUUCAGAAGUAAGCCAGCAAGAGAGAUAUGAGGGCAGCUGAUUGGUUUAUCUGAGCAUGUUGGAGUGACCGUAGGUCAUUCUGGAGAUCCAUCGCUCAUUCUGGUUGGCUUGGUGUGAACAUAAUUGUAUAAACUUUUCAAAGAGCACGGUCUUGUUUUGUUAAAUUGAGCUGUGUUAACACUGACAGCUUUUCAUUUUUUUUUGCUCAUUUCUCUCUCGAGGUGAGAUGUUGUUUCAUCGCCCUGACCUGUAACGAUGUUAAUGCAAUCAUGACUAAUUCUGACAGGCACUCAAAAUGGUUUGGUGUUACAAGUGAAAUUUAGUUUUGCUUUCAUGGUCGUGUCCCCACAGAGCGGAGCUACUGAAACGGGCAAGCCUGUUGAUUUGAUUGACGCAAGAGAAACAACAGCAAAAUCAGGGGAGGAAUUAAAUUGGCUGAAAUUGUUAAUUGUGUGUGUGUGUGUGUGUGUGUGUGUGUGUGUGUGUGUGUGUGUGUGUGUGUGUGUGUGUGUGUGUGUGUGUGUGUGUGUGUGUGUGUGCACGCAUAAUAGUAAAUGUGCAAAUGUGAGGGUUUGUAUUAAGGCUCAUUCUCUGUGGGUACAGUAACUGUCUGUUUUCUUCUAGAAGGGCCUUUGAGCAGCAUCUCCUCAGUUUGUGUCUCACCUGACAGACACACAACACACACAUUCAUUCUCUGUCCUCUCCCACCAUCUCCUCUUUAGUAAAUGAGAUUCAUUAUCAUGCCAAAAUGUCACGCCUGUUUGCUUCAAACUAUGCAACAGAAUUCUCCUAUUAGAAUAUGGUUGAUUUAUUUCCUCAAUUCUCCUCUCAACACACUAUCUCCUUCUCUCGCUCACUCUCUCUUUCUCUGUCUAUGCGUGCUUGUCUAUGUCUCAAUGGAUCCAGUUGUUUCCCAUAUUUGAGUUCUUUCUACUAACAGAAACAGAAGUGUAUAAUGUUUGUAUGUAUGUGUGUACACGAUCUGCAAGCACCCUGAGUUGUUCUUUACUCUGUUGUAAUAAUGAUCAUGUUGAAUGCCUUGGUCUUUAUGUCCUGUAGUUUGAAUUUAACAGAACAAAAAAUGAUAAUCAAGCAAGA
rnacentral:lncRNA from 1 species